AUUGAACGCUGGCGGCAGGCCUAACACAUGCAAGUCGAGCGGAGCGGCGGACGGGUGAGUAAUGCCUAGGAAUCUGCCUGGUCGUGGGGGAUAACGUCCAGAAACGGGCGCUAAUCCCGCAUCCUAUCAGAAUAGCAUAGGUCGAAUGAGAUAGUUGGUGGGGUAAAGGCCUACCAAGGCGACGAUCCGUAACUGGUCUGAGAUGAUGAUCAGGCACACUGGAACUGAGACACGGUCCAGACUCCGACGGGAGGCAGCAGUGGGGAAUAUUGGACAAGGGGCGAAAGCCUGAUCCAACCAUGCCGCGUGUGUGAAGAAGGUCUUCGGAUUGUAAAGCACUUUAAGUUGGGAGGCGUUACCAACAGAAUAAGCACCGGCUAACUUCGUGCCAGCAGCCGCGGUAAUAC
rnacentral:rRNA from 1 species